AUUUGGUCAGGCCUUGUGUAUGAAUCCUGCCAGCUGGGAAUAGAGCCCUGCGAGCACUGAGUGGGACCAUUGACCUGCUUCACAAUUAACAAACUGAAUACAGUAUCUCCUUAUAGUGGGAAAGGCGGCAACUUAGACCCUACGCCUCCCUCUGUGCGCAAGUGACGGGGAGUCAGUCUAUGGGGUCCACAUAUUGCACACAUUGUGAAAAUCAAAUCCUUUGCCGGCAGAGCAUUAUAG